CCUGUCCCUAGGCAUUGCAGGUGGAGCUUCUGUGUCACGUAUGCAUCAGCAGGUGGCAGAGAGGAGGGAAGCUAUGUUUAUGCUCAGUGUUCUGACCUAUGAACAUCUGAAUGAUUAGUAGCCUAGCAUU